AGAGUUUUAAUUCUGGCUCAGGAUGAACGCUGGCGGCGUGCCUAAUACAUGCAAGUCGAGCGAACGGAAAAGGAGCUUGCUUCUUUGAAGUUAGCGGCGGACGGGUGAGUAACACGUGGGUAACCUACCUAUAAGACUGGGAUAACUUCGGGAAACCGGAGCUAAUACCGGAUAACAUUUUGAACCGCAUGGUUCAAAAGUGAAAGACGGUUUUGCUGUCACUUAUAGAUGGAUCCGCGCCGCAUUAGCUAGUUGGUAAGGUAACGGCUUACCAAGGCAACGAUGCAUAGCCGACCUGAGAGGGUGAUCGGCCACACUGGAACUGAGACACGGUCCAGACUCCUACGGGAGGCAGCAGUAGGGAAUCUUCCGCAAUGGGCGAAAGCCUGACGGAGCAACGCCGCGUGAGUGAUGAAGGUUUUCGGAUCGUAAAACUCUGUUAUUAGGGAAGAACAAAUGUGUAAGUAACUGUGCACAUCUUGACGGUACCUAAUCAGAAAGCCACGGCUAACUACGUGCCAGCAGCCGCGGUAAUACGUAGGUGGCAAGCGUUAUCCGGAAUUAUUGGGCGUAAAGCGCGCGUAGGCGGUUUUUUAAGUCUGAUGUGAAAGCCCACGGCUCAACCGUGGAGGGUCAUUGGAAACUGGGAAACUUGAGUGCAGAAGAGGAAAGUGGAAUUCCAUGUGUAGCGGUGAAAUGCGCAGAGAUAUGGAGGAACACCAGUGGCGAAGGCGACUUUCUGGUCUGUAACUGACGCUGAUGUGCGAAAGCGUGGGGAUCAAACAGGAUUAGAUACCCUGGUAGUCCACGCCGUAAACGAUGAGUGCUAAGUGUUAGGGGGUUUCCGCCCCUUAGUGCUGCAGCUAACGCAUAAGCACUCCCCGCCCGG
rnacentral:rRNA from 1 species